AUACACGUGUCACCCCCUAAAAGUGAUAUUUCACGGAAUUGUACAAGAUCGGAAUUGCAGACGAUUUUUUUCUGAUAAAGCAUCGCCUCACACGUUCAAUCACCUUAGCAAAUAAAGAAUCAAGGAGCAUUUUCGUAAUUCGGCUACCAUACAACUGCCCAUUCAACGGUAUAACGACGGAUUAAAAUCGUCUAUUAUUCUCAAUCUUGCAAUUAUUAUGUUAUUCUACCUGCAGAGAAUGAUACGUGGCAGUGCUGAGGUGGACGGUGGAGAUUGAGAGUGAGAAGGUAUGAAAUUCAUUUUGGUUUAUUGACUCAUGAACCGACCACGGUUCUCAACUGGACCAGUUCUCACUAAACCGAAAACUUCUUAGGGAUUGGUUUAUAGGCUGGGUAAUCCAAUCUUCCACAAAUUUGAAUCCCCAGACCUCGCGUGACUGAAACCCCUCUGCUUCAUCUCUUUCUCUAUUACUCUUGCAUUUACAAGUUAGGUUUCCUGCUGGACUUCGCUUGAAGACCUUCCUCUCCUUUAUGCCUCCCUUCGUUUUCUCUAUUUCUAUGUCAUAAGCUGAGUUUGGAUCUUGGUUUUCUGCUCAAGACACUGUUGAAGGACGAGAAAGCCCUAUAUCCCAUUUUCUGUUGAAUAUCUCGCAUGCGAAAGGUUUCUCUUUGCAGGUAAGGAGUCUUCAGCUCAAAAUGGCAGAGUACCUAGGGUAGUGCCCAGGUUAUGGUGGUUCGAAUCCACCAAGGUUCUUUCAUGACAAAAAAUGAUAAAAUAUUUUAUUAUGCUAGUUGACAGUAUCUUAUGAGGUUCAACCAGUGGGACUUCAUUUGUGUAGAAGCUAUCAUUGUUGUAAAUAGUUGAACUUAAUGGGCUUGUAAUGCUCAUUAUUCUCUUUCUUCUUCUUUUAUCUCAAUAAUGGCUGACUUUAUAAAUGUCUCAUUUCCCUUGUUUGGGCUUGCUUCUGAAUGGGUUUGUGAGUGACAGGAUCAAGUAUAUAUUAUAGUGAUUCUUUGUCUCA